rnacentral:rRNA from 1 species
CAGUCGCGGUAAAACAAUGGGGGCAAGCGUUAAUCAUAAUGGCUUAAAGAGUUCGUAGAAUGAUAAUAUAAAUAUAUUAUUAGAGUUAAAGAAUUAAUUAAAGAAUUAUAAUAGUAAAGAUGAAAUAAUAAUGAUAAUUAUAAGACUGGUAUAUGUGAAAAUAUUAAUUAAUAAUUAACUGACAUUGAGGAACGAAGGCUAGAGUAGCAAUCCGGAUUCGAUACCCGAGUAGUUCUAGCAGUAAACUAUGAACACCAUAUAUAAUAAAAAAAUAUUAUAUAAAAAUGAAAAUGUAAGUGUUCCGCCUGAAGAGUACGUUCGCAAGGAUGAAAUUCAAGACAAUAGACGGUUACAGACUUAAGCAGUGGAGCAU